CCUCAGGACAUUGAGUCACUCAACCAACUUGCCAGGCCGAGCCCCUCUAACAGUGGUCAUGACCCUUCAAAUCUGACCCAUUGAAUAUUUUCCACGACAAGAAUCUUGGCGAUUAGAUGAUGGCACAUUAGUGAAUGAUAGCGCUGAUAUAUAAUUCGAUAGAGUAGUAUCUAGCAAUCCAAUUGAUCUCAUGGCACUCUAUCAUUGGCUUAUAAAUAGAGGCCGAGAGCUACCCUAAAGUCUCAGCUUUGCAUUGUAACAGAUUGCUCCAUCUUAUAUUAAUCUAAGGAAGGUACUGAAGAGAGAUCCAACAUGAAGAUAAAGAGUCUUGUUUGGUAGCCAAGGAUGACUUGCCUGUAUCCUCCCUCGGAUUCAUGAACACGAGCAUUUAUGCAGUGCUCAAAAGAAAAGGAGAGGAUGAUCGAUCUCAGCUUGCAGCGACAAGGUCAAUCCAUUGAAGUAGCGAGAAGCAGGUGAUUUAUAGCUAGAAUCCACAUGAGGUUCACAGCAAGUGUCCUUGGCUAACGAGACGGGCUCUUAUCUUUCAUGCUGGAUCUGCUCUUCGUGUGCUCUGCUGGGCAAGUUUUUGAUCUAGAAGUCACUUUGGAAGAGACGAUCCAGCUAGCUUCCAAGAGCAAUAUACAGGUUCUUUCAUCACGCAUCGAGUGCUUCGUUAAUGUCGUCUGCCGAGGUAUCUGUAUUUUGUAUAUAUACUCAUGCAAUCGCUUCUUGCACGUAUAUAUGCUAAUUGUAAAAGGGUUAAACAAUACUAUUAAUUUGUAAGUUCACCGAAUAAUCUGAAAUGAUGCAUAUCUAUCUAUAACAGGAACAUGAUGCAUAUCUACAAUGCAAUGUCCUCACAGAACAUGAGCAUCGACUGUUUUAUAUUUAAUGCUUAUCUUAUGGUAGGGCAAGAGAUCUCAAAGAGGCUAAGGAGGAGUUUCAAGUAUUGAUACGUGAGCACGCGUUGUUUAUUCACUAAAAAUAAAAAAUAAUUUAAAUA